rnacentral:rRNA from 1 species
AUUGAACGCUGGCGGCAGGCCUAACACAUGCAAGUCGAGCGGAGCGGCGGACGGGUGAGUAAUUCCUAGGAAUCUGCCUGGUAGUGGGGGAUGACGUCCGGAAACGGGCGCUAAUACCGCAUACUAUCAGAUGAGCCUAUGUCGUAUUAGCUAGUUGGUGGGGUAAAGGCCUACCAACGCGACGAUCCGUAACUGGUCUGAGAGGAUGAUCAGUCAAACUGGAACUGAGACACGGUCCAGAGGCCUACGGGAGGCAGCAGUGGGGAAUAUUGGACAAUGGGCGAAAGCCUGAUCGAGCCAUGCCGCGUGUGUGAAGAAGGGAUUCGGAUUGUAAAGCACUGUAAGUUGGGAGGCGGUACCAACAGAAUAAGCACCGGCUAACUUCGUGCCAGCAGCCGCGGUAAUUC